rnacentral:lncRNA from 1 species
GAUUUUUAGCCGACGGGAUCUAAAUGAAAGUUGUAGUACUCGUAAAUACCAACGCGUGGAUAUAAAGAACGUCGAUAAUAGAGCUCGUAUGCAAAAGUUAUGGACGAAGCUUAGUCCCUACUUUUCGAGCGCGGCGAAUUCGAUACAGUUUUGUAAAUACGAGAUAGAAUGAGAAUUAGCCAACGAGGUCUAAAUGAGAGUUGAAGAUCUCAUUAAUAGGAACUCAACGGUAAAAAGACAGACAAAAAUGGAGCUCGUAUGCGAAAGUUAUGGACGAAGCUUAGUCCCUACUUUUCGAGCGCGGCGAAUUUGAUACAGUUUUGUAAAUACGAGAUAGAAUGAGAAUUAGCCAACGAGGUCUAAAUGAAAGUUGAAGAUCUCAUUAAUAGGAACUCAACAGUAAAAAGACAGACAAAAACGGAGCUCGUAUGCAAAAGUUACGGACGAAGCUUGGAGACUACUUUACUAUACACUUCCUAUAAAUACAAGGGUGAACUCCUCAUAUUUUCUUCACACCAUAAGCCUUUCUUUCUCUCUCUAACUUCUCUCUAGCCUCCCUAAACCCCUCCC